rnacentral:rRNA from 1 species
AACGAACGCUGGCGGCAUGCCUAACACAUGCCAGUCGAACGAGACCUUCGGGUCUAGUGGCGCACGGGUGCGUAACGCGUGGGAACCUGCCCUUAGGUUCGGAAUAACUCCCCGAAAGGGGUGCUAAUACCGGAUAAUGUCUUCGGACCAAAGAUUUAUCGCCUUUGGAUGGGCCCGCGUUGGAUUAGCUAGUUGGUAGGGUAAAAGCCUACCAAGGCGACGAUCCAUAGCUGGUCUGAGAGGAUGAUCAGCCACACUGGGACUGAGACACGGCCCAGACUCCUACGGGAGGCAGCAGUGGGGAAUAUUGGACAAUGGGCGAAAGCCUGAUCCAGCAAGGCCGCGUGAGUGAUGAAGGCCUUAGGGUUGUAAAGCUCUUUUACCCGGGAUGAUAAUGACAGUACCGGGAGAAUAAGCGCCGGCUAACUCCGU